rnacentral:pre_miRNA from 1 species
AAUUGAUUUAGCUGGGUAGUGGGGAACCAUUCCAUGAGGAGUAGAAGACUCCUAUGCAAGAUUCCCUUCUACCUGACUGGGUU